rnacentral:lncRNA from 1 species
UUAGGUAGUUAGUAGAAAUUAUAUAAAAGAAGGGUAAAAAAGUUAUUUUACUUUAACUUGUUACAGCUAAGUGUUUUGUUUUAUCCAUACUCGGCCCAACCCAGCCUCAUGUUAUUUCGAAUAUGACUCGACCCACACAUGACCUCCCGCCACAGGAUAGGAUGCUGGCCCAUUUAAACCAACACCCUGGAGCCUUACGCCACUUAGAACAUUACUCGGCCCAACCCAGCCUCAUGCUAUUUCGAAUAUGACUCGAUCCACACAUGGCCUCCCGCCACAAGGCAGGAUGCUGGCCCAUUUAAUCCAACAAUCCUCCUUCCAGCACCUGCACAUAUUUGCAGCAUGCGGGAAUCGAACCCGUGACCACUGGUUUUGAUACCACUUGUCAAAUUGUUGGCACUGACCAUUAAUCCCAAGAGCUCGAGCUGUUAGAAAUAAGUAACCAAUUCAUAUAAAACGUACAGAUACAACGUCCACGGGUCUCUAUUGUAAUUCGGCCCAACCAGCCUCACACCACUUCAAACAUGACUCGGCCUAACCCAGCCUCACGCCAUUUCGAAUAUAACUCGGCCCACAUAUCGCCUUCCGCCACAGGGCAGGAUACUGACCCAUUUAAGACAACAGAUUUAUCGAUCCUUCAAAAAAUUCUAAUAAGUUUAGAAAAUUUAGAAAAUUUUGGUUAAAGUAAAAGUUCUAAGUGGCGUGAGGCUGGUUGGACCGAGUCACAAUCAAGACCCGUGGAUGCUGUAUUUGUACGCUUUAAGUGAAUUGGUUGAAUAUUUCUAACAACUCGAGCUUUUGGGAUUAAUGGUCAGCGCAAACGAUCUGACAAAAUCUAAUCAUUUAAAUUUUAUAGCAAUUUAUUAUUAUUCGAUAUUUUUAUAGGGACGUCUAUAA